rnacentral:rRNA from 1 species
AUACGUAGGUGGCAAGCGUUAUCCGGAUUUAUUGGGCGUAAAGCGAGCGCAGGCGGUUUUUUAAGUCUGAUGUGAAAGCCCUCGGCUUAACCGAGGAAGCGCAUCGGAAACUGGGAAACUUGAGUGCAGAAGAGGACAGUGGAACUCCAUGUGUAGCGGUGAAAUGCGUAGAUAUAUGGAAGAACACCAGUGGCGAAGGCGGCUCUCUGGUCUGUAACUGACGCUGAGGCUCGAAAGCGGUGGGUAGC